UACGUAGGCAGCGAGCGUUGUUCGGAAUUACUGGGCGUAAAGAGUGUGUAGGCGGUGCUCUAAGUUCGGUGUGAAAUCUCCUGGCUCAACUGGGAGGGUGCGCCGGAAACUGGAGUGCUUGAGCGUGGGAGAGGAAAGCGGAAUUCCUGGUGUAGCGGUGAAACGCGUAGAUAUCAGGAGGAACACCAGCAGCGAAGGCGGUGGUCUGGGCCGACAUUGACGCUGAGGAGCGAAAGCGUGGGGAGCGAACAGG
rnacentral:rRNA from 1 species